rnacentral:rRNA from 1 species
GAUGAACGCUGGCGGCGUGCCUAAUACAUGCAAGUCGAGCGAUCGGACGAGAAGCUUGCUUCUCUGAUGUUAGCGGCGGACGGGUGAGUAACACGUGGAUAACCUACCUAUAAGACUGGGAUAACUUCGGGAAACCGGAGCUAAUACCGGAUAAUAUUUUGAACCGCAUGGUUCAAAAGUGAAAGACGGUCUUGCUGUCACUUAUAGAUGGAUCCGCGCUGCAUUAGCUAGUUGGUAAGGUAACGGCUUACCAAGGCAACGAUGCAUAGCCGACCUGAGAGGGUGAUCGGCCACACUGGAACUGAGACACGGUCCAGACUCCUACGGGAGGCAGCAGUAGGGAAUAUUGCGCAAUGGGCGAAAGCCUGACGGAGCAACGCCGCGUGAGUGAUGAAGGUCUUCGGAUCGUAAAACUCUGUUAUUAGGGAAGAACAUAUGUGUAAGUAACUGUGCACAUCUUGACGGUACCUAAUCAGAAAGCCACGGCUAACUACGUG